rnacentral:rRNA from 1 species
UACGAAGGGGCUAGCGUUUGCUCGGAAUGACUGGGCGAAAGGGCGCGUAGGCGGCUUGCACCGUCAGAUGUGAAAUUCCUGGGCUUAACCUGGGAACUGCGCUUGUAACUGGCAAGCUUGAGUGUGGCAGAGGGGGUGGAAUUCCACGUGUAGCAGUGAAAUGCGUAGAGAUGUGGAGGAACACCGAUGGCGAAGGCAAUCCCCUGGGCCUGCACUGGACUCAUGCACAAAAGC